CUACAGAAAAGAAGGGACGGCUCUAAUUUCGGUUUGUUUUGUCUAGGGCAACAGAGAGAGAGAGAGAGAGGAGAACCGUGGCAACAUAAACGGAAGAGACCGGCCACCAGCGACAAAAAGUUAAUCUCUUCCUCAUCAUUGUCUCUCUGAUUCGUCGUCGAGUCAAUCCAUUGCUCUUCCUCAUCAUUGUAGGAGCAUAAACCCCCUUUAUGGUCUCAUAAAUCCCCUUGAAGCUCUGAAUAUGCUGACAUGGAAAGGGAGCUUGUAGAGCCAACAAACUACCAUACAGAUAGUUGCAGGCGUGUCCGUCUCUUGUAAGACACAGGUUUAAAGGUCAAUUAAUAACUAUCAAUUGAAGUCUCUCAAUCAUCAACAAAGCGGGGAAAGACAUUCACGCCGGAUCAAGAUAUAGCAAUUUGUAAUGCUUGGUUGAGCAUCACCCAAGAUCCAAUAGUUGGUAACUCGCAAUCACAGAGUACGUUUUGGAAUUGGAUAUUUCAAAAUUAUCUUGAUCACUCCAAUGACGAAAAUGUACGAACACAAGUUGCUAUCCAAUCUCGUUGGGGCAUAAUCAUGAAGUCUUGCAUUAAAUAUAGUGGGUGCGUCAGACAAAUUGAAAAUAGGCAACAAAGUGGAAUCAAUGAAACAGAUAAGGUUCUUCAAGCAAAAAGUUUGUAUUAUGAAAAUGAGAAGAAACACUUUUCUUUGGAUCAUUGUUGGGCAAUUUUGGAACAUGCCAUUAAGUGGAAAGAUUGGGGAUCCUCCAAAAAGCCAAAGUCUCCUGCAAUGACCCCAUAUUCCUUUUCCCCAUUUUCCUCUUCCGCAUCCCAAAUUCCUGAGACGCCCAUUUCUCUCGAUUCCGAUCAAGAUCGAACCGAAAAAUUUGUUGACUCCCCAACAACCAAAAGGCCUAGUGGAAGGAAAGCUGCAAAAAAAGCACGUAAGAAAAGCAAGAUAGCAGAUACUUCAGACACUCGUUUUUGUGAUUUGAUGGAAAAAUUUAACGAAACUACAACUGACAGAUAUAUGAAGAAGUGUGAAAUAGAAGAAAGAAAAUUUAAAGUAAUGCAGCAAAUGAAUCAAAGGGAGCAAGAAGAGAAAUAAGCCAAGAUUAUGAUGAUGGACCUUUCCAACAUGGACCCUCAGGCAAAAGUUUAUUACCAGCUGCUUAAGAAUGAGAUUCUUGCCAAACUACAAGCACGCUCAACAAACUUUGAUUAUUAUGUUCCUUUUCCCCCAUGUCCACCAUGAAGGACAAGUGAAGUUUAGCACUUUCUAGGAAUAUGCUAUUUUGGUUUGUUCCUUGUAUAAAGUUUAGCACUUUCUAGAAAUAUGCUAUUUUGGUUUGUCCCCUGUAUGAAGUUUAGGACUAUUUUUCAAUAUGUUAUUUUGGUUUGUUCCCUGUAUGAAGUAGUAUGCUUGACAAUGAAAGUAAAGGCAAUGGACUGUGUUGUCGAAA